rnacentral:rRNA from 1 species
AACGUAGGUUCCGAGCGUUAUCCGGAUUUACUGGGCGUAAAGCGCGUUCAGGCGGUUUGGCAAGUCGGGCAUGAAAUCUCUCGGCUCAACCGGGAGAGGUUGUCCGAUACUGCUGGACUUGAGGGCAGUAGAGGGUGGUGGAAUUCCGGGUGUAGUGGUGAAAUGCGUAGAUAUCCGGAGGAACACCAGUGGCGAAAGCGGGUCUCUGGGCCGAUACUGACGCUGAGGAGCGAAAGCGUGGGGAGCGAACAGG